GUGUGUGUGCGUGUGUGUAUGUGUGUUUGUCUUUUGGAUUUUUGUUGUGGUUUUGCUUCUGCUGGCUUGCUGGACCCAGGCAGAACAUACUCUGCCGCUGGAGUACAGGAGAUUGCCUGCUGGCUCACAUUCUUCUGCACUUGUCCAUUCCUCUGCCACUUGGUCCCUCUGAGCCUUGGCUUGGCAUUGUGGGUCUAGGGCUUGGCUUAAGGCAGUGGCAGAGUAAGUGAAAUUGGGAGCUAUCGGGCCCCCAUGCUGCUUCCACAUCCACCACCUCUGGCCCUGGGUGGUGACAUUGCAGGGACCAAGGUGUCACUGUGGGUGCCCACAGGGCUGUGCCCUACCUGUCCUCGGCCGUCUUCCUUCUGGCCUCAGCUUAGUUCCUAGAGUCUUCAUUGGGGCCUCAGCUAGGCCGCCCCAGGGGCCUACCUUGUGGAUUGGGAGUCCUGUCACUCGUGUAUUUCUGAAACCCCGUUCUGUGGGGUGUUGUUUCCCAGGCAGAUUGGUUAGGGGCCCCACUUGGGGCAACCCAUUCUUCCCUGUCUCACUGUGAGAGCCUGGAGGCCUCCACCAUGGCCAGACAAAGGCUUUGGCCCUCGGGCCCAGUCUGUUCUUCCCAGUGUCUGCAGCUCUUGGCUCUGGGCCCUAUUCUGCCUCCUUCAGGAUCUGCGUCUUCCAGGGAUCCGCUGUUCGACUUGGAGGUGCUUCUCUGCAGGUCCCAAGCCUGCCUCCUCACCCCAGCUUUCCAGUGGAGGCUGCCCCCUUCCAGGCUUGGCUCAGGAAGCUCCUCAUAGGCGGAUGCCCACCCAUAAGAGGCUACAUCCCUUUGUGGUCACAUGGCCUGUAGCCUCUUGCUGACAUUGCUGGUGUCUUCUCUGGGGCCCUGGAUCCCUGACAAGCACAGAAAUGUGAUCUGGUAAAAGGAAAGACUGUGGCCUGAUAGGCCUUUACCUCGUAGGCAGCAGGAUUUUCACUCAGUUUGACACAGCAUGCAGUGCUCUGGGAGCAGGACCUCUGCCACCCUGGCAUUUUUGGUAGGCUGGUUUGGCUCAAGGUGCUCAGACACUCCCAUUGAUGCCUGAGUCGGAUAUGGGUGGAAAUCUGGACUGUUGAUUAUAAGUUACCAGGUGACCUCAUUCCCUCCCUUUGUCUCUUAACUGGUAUCCAGUGAGUUGCUGAUGCCGACUGGCAAGCAGAGCUGGCCCAUGCCUAGAGGAGGAGAGGGACAGGCUUUCUGAGUGCUUUGAUUCUGGCUGGGCUGUAGUGUAUAGCUGAGAAUGGCCUCCUGCAUGGGUCCAGCCUUUUGGGAGGAUGAGGAAGAGGAGGCUGAGGCUAGAUGUGUGUUAAACAGGAGUAGCAGAUCUUUGCUUCUGAACCGGAUAGAGCCGUGCUCAAGGCUUUCAGGUUUGCAGUAUCUUCUUAUUGAGUCUGGGGAACGUUCCCUAUUGAGCCAGCCCUGCAGCUCCACUCCCUGCCCCAUUCCCCUGAUUUCUUGACAGUAAAUCCUGUGUCCAGUUGUGACUGUUGGCUGUUUUCCUGAUCAUUGUUAAUUCCGUUUUCCUACUGUGAGGGUGUUGUGUUUGACUUUCUGACACAGCGAAUGGAGAGCUUGGGCUGAGGCCAGGUCUCCCAAACUUCUCCGCUAAGUAAACCGUAAUGUGUGACUUCCCUCCUAUCUUGACUGCCCGACUCCUUCCUUCCACAUGGACACUCAGAUUUCAAAGAAAACCCGCAGGAGGUGGGUCAGUUUCCUCUGUAGAAUAUGGUCCCAGAGAGUCCUCCCCUCUGUUGUGUCUAGCUGCUAGUCUGGGUGUUGUACCAUCAGUGCAGGGAGUCCACGGCAACACUGAGUUAUACAGGGACCACUACCAUCGCCAGGCUUCCUAGCAGGCUGUUCUCAGUUCAUCUUUCAGGUCCGUGUGUACUCUGUGCUAGCAGCAGCCUUGGUGUUCAAGGCCAGGAUUUGCAGUUUUGAUAAGCUACAGCCCACUUGGAGAUGGUGAGGCCACUUCCCUGCUACCUCCCUCUCUGGUGUGGCCACUUGGCCAAAGCUCCCAUCCACAGCUGGGGUGUCUGAGCCACAGCCUGCUACACUGUUUCCGCUCUGGGAUCUUCUGAGUUACUCUUUUAGGCUGUGGUUUGGUGAAAGGAACCAACACAUUAACGAUCCCCCCCCCCCCCAAAGCCACUGAGUAAUUCUUGGCAUGUUUUCUAAGUGCUGUUGGCUGCCUGGUUUGGGAGCAGUUGUGGAGAGGACAGACUUAGUACCACACAGAGGCAUGGGUGUGCGAGCUGCUCACAGCUUCCUUGUUUCUGGCAUGUGUCCUGGGUGCGUGCUAUACCUCCCGGGCCAGCUGCACACCUAUGUACUCUGCCCCUGAGAGGUAGAGUGUUCAGGAAGUGUCCCUGAUAGAUUCCCUGUUCUCUGUGGCCCCAGUUGGGCUUUUGGCUCCUCCAGCAACUUCAUGCCCCAACCCUACCUUUCCUCCCAUUUCUUUCUGUCUGCUAGUCCCUGAAGCCUUUAACCAAAUGGGAAUGGGUACAGAAAGCCUUCUCCUGGCAACUUAGGGCAACAGGACAAGGGCUAUUGUGUGUCCAGCUCUGUUGGUCUCCUGGUGCUGAGAGGUGUGUCCAAGCAGAGUUGAUCAGCCCCUGCCUGCCCUGCAGGGCUGAAGCCAGGGGGAGGUUAGUAGAGAGUACCCUAAAUGGGGUGAGGGUCCUUAAACAUCCAAGUGAGGAGGGGCUGUUGUGUGGCUGCAAGGUGAGACCCUGUCUCCAGCACCUGGGUAGGGCCAUCGGGGAUCUGGCUGCAAGGUGAGGUCUGGACUUGGCAUCAGUGCAGAGCGAUCAAGUCACCUGGCCUCAGCAGGCAGCAGCCUUGGUGCCCACCCGUGCCCUGCGCAGUAUUUAUUGCUAAAUUAUUGUCCAGGAGGGGCGGCACUGGGCCUGGCCCCCCGGGUAUUUAUUGCUGUACAUAGUGUAUGUUUGUGAUAUAUAAGGUUUUCUUUAUUUUGUAUAUGAUCAAUAAACGCCUUUUAAAGAGAUC
rnacentral:lncRNA from 1 species